rnacentral:rRNA from 1 species
GACGAACGCUGGCGGCGUGCUUAACACAUGCAAGUCGAACGGAAAGGCCUGCUUUCCCUUGUGGAUUGCGGGUACUCGAGUGGCGAACGGGUGAGUAACACGUGAGUGAUCUGCCCCCAACUUGGGUAUAAGCCUGGGAAACUGGGUCUAAUUCCCGAUAGGACUGCAGGGUGGUGCCUGUGGUGGAAAACGAUUUUCUAGUGGUUGGGGAUGAGCUCGCGGCCUAUCAGCUUGUUGGUGGGGUAAUGGCCUACCAAGGCGGCGACGGGUAGCCGGCCUGAGAGGGUGGACGGCCACAUUGGGACUGAGAGACGGCCCAGACUCCUACGGAAGGCAGCAGUGGGGAAGAUUGCACAAUGGGCGGAAGCCUGAUGCAGCGACGCCGCGUGGGGGAUGACGGCCUUCGGGUUGUAAACUCCUUUCGACCGCGAGGAAGCCACCUGGUUGGAAGGGUGGUGACGGUAGUGGUAGAAGAAGCACCGGCUAACUACGUG